rnacentral:rRNA from 1 species
UUCCGAUGGUGAACCUGCGGAGGGAUCAUUACACAAAUAUGAAGGCGGGCUGGAACCUCUCGGGGUUACAGCCUUGCUGAAUUAUUCACCCUUGUCUUUUGCGUACUUCUUGUUUCCUUGGUGGGUUCGCCCACCACUAGGACAAACAUAAACCUUUUGUAAUUGCAAUCAGCGUCAGUAACAAAUUAAUAAUUACAACUUUCAACAACGGAUCUCUUGGUUCUGGCAUCGAUGAAGAACGCAGCGAAAUGCGAUAAGUAGUGUGAAUUGCAGAAUUCAGUGAAUCAUCGAAUCUUUGAACGCACAUUGCGCCCUUUGGUAUUCCAAAGGGCAUGCCUGUUCGAGCGUCAUUUGUACCCUCAAGCUUUGCUUGGUGUUGGGCGUCUUGUCUCUAGCUUUGCUGGAGACUCGCCUUAAAGUAAUUGGCAGCCGGCCUACUGGUUUCGGAGCGCAGCACAAGUCGCUUCUCUCUAUCAGCAAAGGUCUAGCAUCCAUUAAGCCUUUUUUUUCAACUUUUGACCUCGGAUCAGGUAGGKAUACCCGCUGAACUUAAGCAUAUCAAUAAGCGGAGGAA